UAUCAACCACCUGUUGAGUCUCAACGUGCCUGGACGGAAGGAACAGUCUUUGCUUGCUCAAAGCUGUAUAUAUUAGUGGUAUUUACAGAAGGGCAUGUGAUAGAAAAAGUAAAUAACUGAAUUUGUUCAUAGCUUCCUGUUUCCUUCUUGAUUCUUCAGGAGAGGAUGCCUUUUCCCUUUGGAAGUACAGAUUCUCCUUGGACAAAACUUAAUUAAAACUCCAGCUAGAUUAGUAAACUUUGGUUAAUGAAUUGGCCUCAGGAAGCCCCUACAUUUUCAUGGCCUCGUAGAGUUCAGUGAAAAUGUUUAUUAAGGGACACAGCCUGUCCUGCUCUGACCCCAAGACACUGAAGACUCUGUUUGAAUCAGACUCAAGGGCUUCUUCCUCCUCACCACUCUCAAGGACAGGAAUGCUUCUGGUGAAGACGUUUGUGGUGGCUCAUGGAGCUUCCAUUCACCAGGCUGGAAAUGGCAUUCAUUUUACUGGCUUUUGUUAUCUUUUCCUUAUUUACUCUGGCUUCCAUCUAUACUAACCCAGAGGAGAGGAAUGAAGAGGAAGAAUACCAAAUAAAGGAAGAGAAAAAGAAAAGAAAAGCCUCCAAAAAGAAGAAAAACUCCCCAAAGGAAGAACACAAAACUGAAGCUAUUUAGGUUCACGGAGGCCACCUAUGACAUCACAGUCACAGAAACUUUCCACUGAGGACAUGGAGGAAGUGGCCAAAGGAGCUACUGACCCACAGUUAAUAAGAGGAAGAGAUGAUCAAUAAAGCUAAAAAAUGCAAUUACCAAUCAGGCAAGAUGGUAACAACCCUUAGCAAAGGAAAUCCUGGGGAGAAGGCUUCCUAACAUUUUUGUGACGCAGCUUUAUUUAAAAAUAUUUAUUGUGCCAAUGAAGAGCGAUAUGCCAUGCGAGGUGCAACUGUUUAUACAAAAGAAUACGGCCAAAGUGGUAAUAAUAGUAAGAUAGUACAAAGAGCAAGAAGAGCCCAAAUCACGCGUGUUAAUAAUUUGCUAAGAGAAAAAAUAAGCUCAUUUUAAUCACUUGUUUAAACUUGAGAUUCAUAUGGUAACAUGUAAGAGACUUAAUUGUCCUAAUACAUGAUGUGCAAACUACAAUCAACUGUGUAACUACUUCUUUUCUGAAAUAAACAUGAAAUAGAAAGAACUACA